rnacentral:rRNA from 1 species
GACAGAGGGUGCAAACGUUGUUCGGAAUUACUGGGCGUAAAGCGUGUGUAGGCGGUCCACUAAGUCGGGUGUGAAAGCCCUGGGCUCAACCCAGGAAGUGCACUCGAAACUGGCGGGCUAGAGUACUGGAGAGGUUGGUGGAAUUCUCGGUGUAGAGGUGAAAUUCGUAGAUAUCGAGAGGAACACCGGUGGCGAAGGCGGCCAACUGGACAGAUACUGACGCUGAGACACGAAAGCGUGGGGAGCAAACAGG